AUUGAACGCUGGCGGCAGGCCUAACACAUGCAAGUCGAACGAGUGGCGGACGGGUAAGUAAUGUCUGGGAAACUGCCUGAUGGAGGGGGAUAACUACUGGAAACGGUAGCUAAUACCGCAUAACCUCAGAUGUGCCCCGAUGGGAUUAGCUAGUUGGUGGGGUAACGGCUCACAAAGGCAACGAUCCCUAGCUGGUCUGAGGGGAUGACCGGCCACACGGGAAAUUAGACACGGUCCAGACUCCUACGGGAGGCAGCAGUGGGGAAUAUAGCACAAUGGGCGCAAGACUGAUGCAGCCAUGCCGCGUGUAUGACGAAGGCCUUCGGGUUGUAAAGUACUUUCAGCGGGGAGGCGUUACCCGCAGAAGAAGCACCGGCUAACUCCGUGCCAGCAGCCGCGGUAAUUC
rnacentral:rRNA from 1 species